GCUUUCUCUGCUGCACAAGUCCGGUACGAUCAGAAAAAGAGCGAAGAGAAGCCCAGAUAUGCUGGUCACAUGAUCAAACCAGCCCCACCCCUCUACUUAUGAGAUCCCAUGCCAUUACUGACAUUAUACUGAUCACUUUUAGAUGGAGAAAUCUUUAGCUGUUAUUAUUUGGACAGUUUACCAAUGUAUUUUUUCUAGAGAGAGAGGUUUUCUCAGUUUCCACAAUACAUUCCAUUGCAUGAUAUCAUACUCAUUGUUUCAUCGUUAACAGACCAUUUAUUGCUAUCCAAUCAUCUGGUUUGUAAAUAUUAUGUAACACAAUUACAUUAGUCAUUCACAAUACCUACUGUACUCUGCAUACAAAAUUGAAAAUUUUAAACAUUUCCUUAUUUCUACAUUAGUUUUCUGAUUUUUGGAAUGUCUGGCUUUAUUUAUAAAAACUAAUUAAAACUCUCUUUAAUAAUCAUGAGAACAGGAUGUCCAAUUUUAGCAUAAAAAAUGAUGUAUGCUUUGAUGAAAUUCAAGAUAGGAGAUAAUGGUAUUCUGAAAACUUCUCAUGAACAAACAGUACUAUGCAGUUUGACGACAUUUUUUUACUUAGAAGUUUUAUCUUUUCUAUACAAUGUUGUGUAUAUAUUAAAAUAUAUUAAAUACA
rnacentral:misc_RNA from 1 species